rnacentral:lncRNA from 1 species
AAGGGCAGUCAGACUGCCUCAGACACAACACCCAGAAAUCUUCUAAAGCAGCUGUUCAUGUGCCGGCACGAGGCAACCAACUCACGGAGGCAUACCAAGUACCUAUGACAAGUAAGACCCGAGGAGAGGACCAGGCAGCAGCAUUUUCAAAGAGUUACAGCACAGUGGCUUCUUUCUGAAGUCUAAACUUCUGAGAAUUGCUCCAAGCUUGCAGGAUGAGAUGGGAAACCAUGAAAGACCCACACAGCUAUGUUGUGGAUUCUUAGGAACUCCCUGUACUGGAGGAGGCAGCGAAAGGGCAGCUCAAAAGGAAAACAAGACCAGCUUGGCAACCCCUGAGAAGCCUCUGUGCAUGUGGUCUUGUGUACACAAACAGACAUGAAGCCUGAGAGCAAAGCUGAGAAAUAUAAUCACUGUGGUUUCUGGA